UACGUAGGGUCCGAGCGUUGUCCGGAAUUACUGGGCGUAAAGAGCUCGUAGGUGGUUUGUCGCGUUGUUCGUGAAAACUCACAGCCCAACUGUGGGCGUGCGGGCGAUACGGGCAGACUAGAGUACUGCAGGGGAGACUGGAAUUCCUGGUGUAGCGGUGGAAUGCGCAGAUAUCAGGAGGAACACCGGUGGCGAAGGCGGGUCUCUGGGCAGUAACUGACGCUGAGGAGCGAAAGCGUGGGGAGCGAACAGG
rnacentral:rRNA from 1 species